UUUGGCCAGAAAGGAAGCAGGAAGUAGGUGUUGGUUGGAGCACAGUAUUUGGGGGCCAGGUCUUAUCAGGCCAGAGAGAUGAUUCCCAAGAAGAAGAAAUAAAAUAAAAUAAAAAGAAAAUCUGGUUAUUUCUGAAAUGGAAAUGAAUCACGAGGAAAGGAAGAUGGUCAGAAGUUUCCCUUGGCCCGACUAUAUUAAUUGCUAGGAGAACUCACCUGGGUUAUUGCCAUAAUAAUUAUGAAGCAUUUUGCAAGUGUCACAAUAAAGGAGGAAAUGUCUGUUUAAUUUGAACUUAGCAGGGUUUUUAUCUCUUCAUCAUUGAUUUAAUAUAUUAUUGUGGUCCAUCGUACAGCCAGCCAGAUGUUUGGACAAGAUUUGGCAUUCACCUAUCAAGUCCUUCCCAAGGACCUGGGUACUGUAGAUAGAUGGUGUUGGAGGAUAUAAGUUGC